rnacentral:lncRNA from 1 species
UAGACUGUCAGAAACAAAUAAAAACAUGACAAAAUUUUGUUGCAUUAAUCAAGAAACUAACCAAUGGAUAUGAUACCCAAGUGGAAAACUCAGGCCUGGAGAAGGACGCUACUUGUGCCUCAUCUGGGCAGCUGUGAUUCAUCAGCACACAGGAAUCAGAAGCACAUGUCAACACCUGAAUCUUCCUUUCCCUGCUGCUCAGAAGAACAGUGAUUGACUAGAACAGCAAAGAAAAUUAAAGACAGCUGUUUCUUAAUUCCUUCCAGAAUGGAAUGAAUAUAAUAACUUUGCAUUGAAACAAGGUUGAACAACACAGAUCAUCAAAGCUACUACUUUCUUUUCAUUAACCUGAAGGACAUAUGAAGGAUGUUACGGCUCUAAUAAGGACCUACUUGACAACAGUGAAAAAAAGAAAUGGCUUUGAGCAGACCCCAAAUACUUAUGAUGUUCUUCACAGCCUCCAUCUAAGUACACUCUUCCCUCUGCUAAGGUUUUGCAAUGCAGCUGAAUAUCAGUUCUGAUUUGGAAAAGUUUCU